UGGCAUUACAGGUGUGAGCCGCCGAGCCCAACCCAAGUUUUGUUUUCAUUCUAAAGAUGGAAUUUCACCAUGUUGGUCAGGCAGGUCUGGAACCCACAUCCUCAAAAUUUCUUGUAGCGUUGGUCUUCGAAGCGGCUAAAUGACAGGUUCCUGUGAGCCACCGUGCCUGGCAGGCUGACUUUAUUAUUACAAAAAAAGAACAGAGAUACUGUUCCUGGCACUGUGAUUAUCGCCAGCAAUCCUAGCCAUUUGAGAGGUCGAGAUGUGCAGUUCACCUGAGGUCACGAGUUCCAGGUCAGCCUGGGCAUCCAGGUGAAAACCCACCCCACUUAAUAAAGGAGAAGAAGAAAUAGUAAACAAGAGAAAUCAGACAGAUUAGUGUGCACAAUUGGAACAAAACGAGGUGCCGGGUGAUUCCACCGCUCGCCCCACCUUUUGUUAUGACAUAGUGAUUUCCUCUUGUCACCCAGGCUGGAGUGCAACACUGCAAUCUCGGCUUAUUGCAACAACUGCCUAGUGGGUUCCAGUGAUCGUCCUUCCGAUGUCUCCAAUGUAACUACGGUUGAAUGUGUCAACACCACCAGGCUGGAGUGCAAGAGUGCGAUCUUGACUUACUGCAACAACAGCCUCCUGUGUUCCAGCAAUCAUCCAGCCGAUGCCUCCGAAGUAACUGGGGUUGCAGGUGUCCACAUCACCACAUCCAGCUAACUUUCAAUUUUUUUUUUUUGGUACCUCAAAUCUAUCUGUAUUUGAUUUCUACAAAAGAGCUGCAUGGGCAAAAAAAAAAAAAAAAUACAAAACGACACAAACAUUUGCGUGUCAGUCUUGCACUGUGUCCAUGCCGGCUUUUUGUGUAGCAUCCCAAUUUUAGUGUAGGUGCUGCCAAAUCGAGCACAUGCAAUGCCUGUCUUAGCAUUUUUAUGGUUAUUUGGUUAUAUGUUUUUCAUAGGGAGAGGGUUGCGCUGUGUCGUUCGACGCAAUUCUCAAAAUUGUGACCUAACAAUCCGCCCACCUCGGCAUUCCAAAGUUCUCAGAUUACAGGCGUGAGUGGCCGAGCCAAGCCCCAGUUGUGUUUUCGUUUUAAAGACAGGGAUUUGUUAUGUUGGUCAUGCCAGUAUCCAACCCGCAACCUCACGAGAUCCACAUCCCUCAGUUUUGAAGCACCUAGAUGACAGGUUCUCAUGAUGCAUUGUUCUUGGCCACCGAAUUUUAUUGUUAGUAAAGAAAUAAGGGAGACUGUGCCAGGCGCUUUGACUCACGCCAGCAAUCCCAGCCCUUUAAUAGACUGAGGUGGGCAGGUCACCUGCAGUCUCGAGUUCCGGGUCAGCCUGGGCAUCCAGGUGAAAGCCCAUUCCACUUAAAAAAAGAAGAAGAAAUAGUAAACAAGAGAAAUCAGACAGAUUAGUGUGCACAAUUGGAACAAAACGAGGUGCUGGGUGACUCCACCCCCCACCCCGCCUUUCUUUUUGACGUACUGCUUUGCUCUUGUUACCCAGGCUGGAGUGCAACACUGGGAUCUUAGCUUAUUGCAAAAACUGCCUAGUGGGUUCCAGUGAUCGUCCUGCCGAUGCCUCACAAGUAACUGGGGUUGAAUGUGUCAACACCACCAGGUCCAGCUAACUUACUGUUUAUUUUUGUGAACCUAAAAUCUAUCUGUAUUUGAUUUGUACAAAACAGCCACAACAGCAAAACUAAAUGAAUAAAUAAAAAACGGAACGCUGGACA
rnacentral:lncRNA from 13 species